rnacentral:rRNA from 1 species
UACAGAGGUCCCGAGCGUUGUUCGGAUUCACUGGGCGUAAAGGGCGCGUAGGUGGCGGCCCAAGUCCAUGGUGAAAGCUCGAUGCUCAACAUCGAGUCGGCCACGGAUACUGGGUUGCUCGAGCACUGUAGGGGCAGAUGGAAUUCCGGGUGUAGCGGUGGAAUGCGUAGAGAUCCGGAAGAACACCGGUGGCGAAGGCGGUCUGCUGGGCAGUUGCUGACACUGAGGCGCGACAGCGUGGGGAGCAAACAGG